CGCGGCCUAUCAGCUUGUUGGUGAGGUAACGGCUCACCAAGGCAUCGACGGGUAGCUGGUCUGAGAGGAUGAUCAGCCACACUGGGACUGAGACACGGCCCAGACUCCUACGGGAGGCAGCAGUGGGGAAUCUUGCACAAUGGGCGAAAGCCUGAUGCAGCAACGCCGCGUGCGGGAUGAAGGCCUUAGGGUUGUAAACCGCUUUCAGCAGGGAAGAAACUGACGGUACCUGCAGAAGAAGGUGCGGCCAACUACGUGCCAGCAGCCGCGGUGACACGUAGGCACCAAGCGUUGUCCGGAUUUAUUGGGCGUAAAGAGCUCGUAGGCGGUUCGGUAAGUCGGGCGUGAAAACUCUGGGCUCAACCCAGAGAUUGCACCCGAUACUGCUGUGACUAGAGUGCAGUAGGGGAGCGGGGAAUUCCUGGUGUAGCGGUGAAAUGCGCAGAUAUCAGGAGGAACACCAGUGGCGAAGGCGCCGCUCUGGGCCGUAACUGACGCUGAGGAGCGAAAGCAUGGGUAGCGAACAGGAUUAGAUACCCUGGUAGUCCAUGCCGUAAACGUUGGGCACUAGGUGUGGGUCUCAACCAACGGGAUCCGCGCCGUCGCUAACGCAUUAAGUGCCCCGCCUGGGGAGUACGG
rnacentral:rRNA from 1 species